rfam:Dipodomys ordii contig_49896, whole genome shotgun sequence.
GGGAAGGUAGCUCAGUGGUAGAGUGCAUGCCUUGCAAGCAUGAGGCCCUAGGUUCGAUUCCUCAGCACCA